UAAUAGAACGUUUUCUUACGGGCAUGCUACUUCUACUGCUCAUAUGGGUAUGAUCACAUCUGUUGUAGGUGGCUAGUUGGGAAGGUAGGAUAAUAAUAUGCAGAGCAAUAAUUUAGUUUACGUGCCUUACGGUGUAUGAAACGAUGAACGAAAGUAUCCAACACUCUGAGCGGAGUAAAAUUAGUCGUGUUUUUCUCCUGUUGCCGCGGUAACCCGUUUUUCCUACGUUUUUACUCAAUUAUCAAGAAAACUAAAAUUAAAACAACGGCCUCCUCCAUGCACUGAAUAUAUCUAAAAUUCUAGCAGAAAGUUUCUGUAAAGUAUUUAAUUGAAGCAUGAUUUAGUAAAAUUAAUACGUUUCUCGUCGCUACGUUCGAAAUCUAAAAUAAACAAUUUGUGGCGAUGGGUAU